GAAAGUAAGUUAUUAGCUAUAUUUUACAUGUGACCCAUUAAUUUUACGAAGCUAUAUCAUUGUUUGAAAAGUUUUUGCUAAAUAAAUUUCUUGCGUAGCAGUAUUUGUUUGUUUAAACGAUCGGAAAAGAAAAAUAUAAUAUGAUUUAUUCAUGUCCACUCAUCUACCAAUAAAGAAAUGUCCUGUGGAGCAGAGUAAUACCGUGGUUAUUUGAGGCCACCGCUGUAUGUGAGUAUCAUCAGGGAUAAAGCCUCGAUAACGAAGCCCUGCCGUGAAGGUGCUCGCAGAAGACUCGAAACAAGAAAAAACGCCAAAAUAGGGAAUUAUCAAGUCCGUCUCUGCAAGGGAAGUUUUAGGUGAAACCCGCAUUUCCGUGGCAGCCACUGAGGUGCGGGACGAAAGUCAAGAAUUUCUGGAAUGGAUGAAUAAAGGUUUGAACAGGAACAACAAGCGCUUGAACAGCGAAAAUAGAGGAGCUAACAACAGAGCCUCUCGGCCAAACUCAUCAAAGCCGAUGCCAGCAAUCACAUGAGGUCGAGUUGGAGUCGGCAAUGGUGGCGAUGCUGUGGAAACUCAGCUGGCGUUACAGUAAGGGAGAAGAAUCAUCAGAGCUACCUGAUGCCAGUAGGAGAGCUCGUUAGAUAAAAAGCCACAGAGAGGGCCCAUUGGUCCUGUUGGCGUGUGUAGACGAAUCCAGGUGCGACGAAGGUGGAGGUCAGGGAGGAAGAGAACGGUCUCCAUGAGUGAUUCCAAAUACGAGAGAAUAAAUGAAGUGGAAGUUCCUCUCCCUCUCCCUCCCUCCCUCACUCUCUCUCUCUCUCUCUCUCUGUGCAGGUGUGUGCCUCAUUUCUUGCAGGUGCUCAUGAGUGGCAGUCGGGAGAGGGAGGGUCAGAGAGAAGAUCUGGUCAUGGUGGAAUCUGCAGGGGGUAGGCGAGAUUGAAUGCAGCCGCAGAGGGGAU
rnacentral:lncRNA from 1 species